rnacentral:rRNA from 1 species
AGGACGAACGCUGGCGGCGUGCUUAACACAUGCAAGUCGAGCGGAAAGGCCCUUCGGGGUACUCGAGCGGCGAACGGGUGAGUAACACGUGAGUAACCUGCCCCUAGCUCUGGGAUAGCUCCGGGAAACCGGGAUUAAUACCAGAUACGACCACUUUAGACAUCUGUCGUGGUGGAAAGGAUUCCGGCUAGGGAUGGGCUCGCGGCCUAUCAGCUUGUGGUGGGGUAACGCCUACAAGGCGACGACGGGUA